UGGGGAAUUUUGGACAAUGGACGCAAGUCUGAUCCAGCCAUGCCGCGUGCGGGAAGAAGGCCUUCGGGUUGUAAGCCGCUUGUGUCAGGGAAGAAACGCUCUGGGCUAAUACCCUGGGGUAAUGACGGUACCUGAAGAAUAAGCACCGGCUAACUACGUGCCAGCAGCCGCGGUAAUACGUAGGGUGCAAGCGUUAAUCGGAAUUACUGGGCGUAAAGCGUGCGCAGGCGGUUAUGCAAGACAGAGGUGAAAUCCCCGGGCUCAACCUGGGAACUGCCUUUGUGACUGCAUAGCUAGUGUACGGUAGAGGGGGAUGGAAUUCCGCGUGUAGCAGUGAAAUGCGUAGAUAUGCGGAGGAACACCGAUGGCGAAGGCAAUCCCCUGGACCUGUACUGACGCUCAUGCACGAAAGCGUGGGGAGCAAACA
rnacentral:rRNA from 1 species